AUAUAGUGCCAAACUUCCUAAACGCGGCUUAAGGCUGCCAUCUUGUUAUAUAUAGGAGGAAGUUAAGUAAAGAUAAAAUUUAAAAUCCUUAUAAUUUCUAAUCUAGGCGCUGAUAUUUAUUAUGACUCAUAAAGAGUUUUUUGUAGUAAUGAAUUGAUACAUUUAUUUCCGAAAUGAACGGUCUUUCAUUUUCAGAACUAUGUUGUCUAUUCUGUUGCCCGCCGUUUCCUUCAGUUAUUGCUUCAAAAUUAGCAUUUCUUCCUCCAGAGCCAACUUAUACUAUUCAAGAACUUGGAGACGGCACUUGGGCUCUUCAUCUUAGUGAAAGAGCAGAAUGGCAAUAUGGUCAGAAAGAGUUAGACUGCAUUGAGGUCUUUCAGGCAAGAACAAACCGAGGAAACAAAGUUACUUGCAUGUAUGUAAGAUGUUCACCUACAGCCAAAUUUACUUUAUUAUUUAGUCAUGGCAAUGCCGUAGACUUAGGUCAAAUGAGUAGUUUUUAUAUUGGACUUGGAACAAGAAUAAAUUGCAAUAUAUUUUCAUAUGAUUAUUCUGGAUAUGGGCAAAGUAGUGGAAAGCCAACAGAAAAAAAUAUAUAUGCAGAUAUUGAUGCUGCCUGGCAUUCUAUGAGGACUAGAUAUGGAAUAAGCCCUGAUAAAGUGCUACUCUACGGACAAAGUAUAGGAACUGUUCCAACUAUUGAUUUAGCAUCUCGUUUUGAAUGUGCUGGCGUUAUACUACAUUCACCAUUAAUGUCAGGAAUGAGAGUUGCCUUUCCUGAGACAAAAAAAACAUAUUGUUUUGAUGUUUUUCCAAGGUUAUCAUUUGCUUGCAAACCAGCACAUCUACUGUUUAAAACCAUUGAAGAAAUGCCAUAGUACAGUUUAUCAUUAUCUUUUCCAUCUGUUUCCAAGAACCAUUCAAGUGAUUUUAUUUUAACAUUGCAGUAUUAGGGAUUUGUUGAAGUGUGUCCUUCACAAUUUGAGGAUCUUAUUUUUAAUUUAAGCAUUGAAAAGUGCCACAAAAUCUCCUCACCAGUUUUGGUAAUUCACGGCACAGAAGAUGAAGUUAUAGAUUUUUCUCAUGGAUUGGCAAUUUAUGAAAAAUCUCCUAAAGCAGUCGAACCUUUGUGGGUAGAAGGUGCCGGUCACAAUGAUGUUGAGCUGUAUGGUCAAUACUUAGAAAGAUUAAAACAAUUUGUUCAGUAUGAUCUUGUUAAAGAAUGAUAUAUAUUUUUUUCUGUUUUA